GAUGAACGCUGGCGGCGUGCCUAAUACAUGCAAGUCGAGCGAACAGACGAGGAGCUUGCUCCUCUGACGUUAGCGGCGGACGGGUGAGUAACACGUGGAUAACCUACCUAUAAGACUGGGAUAACUUCGGGAAACCGGAGCUAAUACCGGAUAAUAUAUUGAACCGCAUGGUUCAAUAGUGAAAGACGGUUUUGCUGUCACUUAUAGAUGGAUCCGCGCUGCAUUAGCUAGUUGGUAAGGUAACGGCUUACCAAGGCAACGAUGCGUAGCCGACCUGAGAGGGUGAUCGGCCACACUGGAACUGAGACACGGUCCAGACGCCUACGGGAGGCAGCAGUAGGGAAUCUUCCGCAAUGGGCGAAAGCCUGACGGAGCAACGCCGCGUGAGUGAUGAAGGUCUUCGGAUCGUAAAACUCUGUUAUUAGGGAAGAACAAAUGUGUAAGUAACUAUGCACGUCUUGACGGUACCUAAUCAGAAAGCCACGGCUAACUACGUG
rnacentral:rRNA from 1 species